AUUCUUUUAGUAUUAUUAGUACAAAUGACUUCCAAUCAUUAAGUUCUAGACAACCUAGAAAAGAAUA
rnacentral:tRNA from 1 species